rnacentral:lncRNA from 1 species
ACAACAAAAUUCUUAAAGAAAUAUUAGAAUGAUCACAAAUAUUACUCAAAUUUAUGUCAAUUCAACCUUAAUUUAAUUCUAGUUAAAACCCUAUUGAAUUUAACUCAAACAUUAGACUAAAUCUAAUUAAAUCUUAAAUCCUAAUAAAUCCUAAACCCUAAGUCAAAUCCUAAACAAACAUUAAAUUAAAUCCUAAAUCAAACCCUAUUUCAAACCCUAAAUCCUAAACCAAACCCUAAAUCAAUCCUAAACCAAAUCUUAAAUCAAAUCCUAACCAAAUCCUAAUCUAAAUCCUAAAUCAAAUCCUAACCAAACCCUAAAUCUUAAUCCAAAUCCUAAAUCAAAUUCUAACCAAAUCCUACAUCCUAAUCCAAACCCUAAUCCAAUCCUAAAUCCUAACUAAAUCCUAAACCUUAAUCCAAACCCUAAUCCAAACCUUAAAUCAAAUCCUAACCAGAUCCUAAUCCGAGCCCUAAAUCAAAUCCUAACCAAACCCUAAACCCUAAUCCAAAUCCUAAUCCAAAUCCUAAAUCAAAUCCUAACCAAACCCUAAUCCAAAUCCUAGUAAUUCUUAUGAAAAAUUUAAACGUCAAUAUCUAAUGAAUAAACCGUCGAUCUCAAUUCAAAAUUUGCAUACUUCUUAAAAAUCAAAUUUAAAACAAGCACAAAAAAAUUUGAAAAGAAUCGGAGUUACUAAAUUGACAAAAACCUCAAAAAUGUAUUCGGGUAUUAGCCGGCCUCCUUCUCCAAUCUUGAUGCCAACCUUCUAGAGCCAAUUUCUCUUCUUUGCAUUGUUCGAUUGGUUUCAAAUUUCUCAUGGACAUAGAAAAAUAAGUCUAAUAUCCUUUCACAUAAGUUUUAUUCCAAUCCAACUAGUAGAUUGUAUGAAAUCUUAAAAACCCUCACUGGACCUAAAAUUCUACUUUCUGAGACCUUGACCCACUUAAACCUCAAUAUCUCUCACUUCAACCAUUAGAUCGAGCUCAAAUUCACAACAUGUAUUUAACACAACUAUAAUCAUGAAUCCAAAAAAAUUUCCUUAUAGAUCUACAACAAAACUCUCGAAAUCACUCAAAACAUAAACUCUAUUUUAUUUCAUAAAACCCAAGUCAUCUGAAACAAACCUCUACUUUGCAAAGCUCUUACAAAGUCAUAUCAACUCCAAAUCACCCAAAAUCAACGCCCAUAGAAACCCUAGCCAAAGAGUCCCGGAGUCGUCAUCGAGACUCGGUUUUGUCCCUCAGGGUCUGAUUUCGACCCUGGUUCAUAACCGGCCCUCUCCGAGUAUCAACUUUCAUCUUCUUGAGGUAAUUUUUACUAAUUUGCAGUCCUAACUCCUUCCUACAUAUGUCUAUAUCCUUUAUUUUUCUAAUCUACCUUUUUUUGUCUUAUUUAUAGCCUUACUAAGUAAAUAGAAGCAUAAUUUGUAAAAGGGCAAGAUUAGCACCUUUAAUUUUUCUACCUUUUUAUUAAUAUCUAUUUUUCCAAGAUAAUUUGCUACAAUAUUUUUGAAGUGAGAUCCUCAAAACAUGAUAUAUUUCUUCACCCUUUCACCUACUAGUCAUAUUACAUCAUGACAUCUACCCCCCCCCUGAAUCUGUGCAUCCUCUGGCAUGCGUUAAUAAUUCUUCAAUAUGUUGAUGUGGAAUGUUCUUCAUCUUGGUACAGUUCUUGAUUUUCAGUGUGCUCUUCUAUUCCAAUCUCGGUAUUUUGUAUUGAAGUUUGUUCUUCAUCAAAAAAAAUUUCUUCAUCUCUUUGUUUGAAUAACUUGAUUCGUUUGCUUGCUAUGAGUACCUUCAAUUCUGUACCAUCAAGUUCUUAUAAUGAAUAUGUUCCACUGUUGUGUGCCUUUUUGACAAUAUAUGGUCCAAACCAUCUCUUUACAAACUUCUUCAUAGUGCUAUGUUGAUUGUCUAAGCUACUAUUAUAAAUUAAUAUCCAAUCACCAUCUUCAAUAGCCUUAGGUCGUAGUCGAUGUUUUUUAUCAAAUCUUUCUUUAUUCUUUUCCCUUGCUUCUUUCAAUUUUUUUAUUUCUAUUUUAAUAUCAUUGGGCCUUCUUUCUAGCUGUUGAAUCCGUAAUGCUAAAAGUUCUUCUCUAUUGAGAUCAUUUUUCCAAGGCAAUACACCAUGUGUAUGUACUACAUCUUCUAUUGGCAUUAUUGACUUUUGUCCAUAUAUUAAUUUAGAAGGCAUAUGACCUGUUACCGAACUAUGAGUUGUACGAUCUGUCCACAAUGCAAAUACAAGUAGUCUAGGCCAUUCAUGUGCUUUGCCAUUUGUGAUUGCUCGUUUUACUUAUUCCAAAAGGAACCUCCCAGAAUAAACCUGUAUAGGGGAAUUCGAACACGGGGAGUGACUAAUUGCUUAAGCGUUCACGUUAGGGUCACACAAUUAAUUACCUCCAAUGUAUCGUCUCUAUUUCCAUUGUCUAAGCACACAAGGAAACUAUAAUCUCUCCUUUCAUCUUAUCAAUCUCUUCCUUACAACAAUUCAGUCAUAUCAAUAACUGUUAUUUCUACCAAUAUAUCUUCACUCUUAUAAUCUCCAACUGUAAUACCGCAACAUCACAGCUUCAGCACACAAUUACCCUCAUUCCAAUUACUAGAAUUCUUCACACAUAACUACCAUUCACAUUACAGUGUUUCACACAACCACAGAUUCACUCUUUCUGCUGAACUACAUUCAGAUUUCAGCAUUCAAUCUCUCUUCUUCUCAUUCAAUAACAUAUAAUUCCAAUCACACUUUCAUUCCAUGAUUCACUUCACAAUAUUCAGAAACUCUCAAUACUCUUAUUUCAAAGAACAUAACAACAAAAGAAAAGAGGUAGCACCAAGCUUACUCCGGCUCACACUAUCACAGUAAUGGCCCCUACUUCCUCUCUCCCAUCUUCCUUAUGCUACCACGAGAUACCAACUGCUACAUCUCUAAUGAAAACUGCUUUUCCUAACUAUUCAUCCAUUUUACCUACUGAACUACCUUUUCAACAGUCAUUUAUCCUUGUUUACACUAUAAACUAAGUAUCUACAAUUCACCAAAUAACUACUUAUUCUACAUAGCCCCACUCCCAUCUGUGUAGCAUCCUCGCAAACAUAGAACUGAUACAUAACUAAAAAAAAACUUCUCCAAAAUUUCUAUUUAUCUAAUACACCCAAUUGAUCAAUUACUUCAUUAUCUAUUAUUGGUUCCAUCAAUUCUGGCUCUAGUGGUACGUCUUCAUCCUCUUCCAAUAUUUCAAGCGGCUCCUUUCUCAACUAGGUUGAAAGAUCUUCAUUGUAUUCUCCCAAUUCCCGGACCUGAGCUUCCAGUUUCAGGAUCUGGGCAUCCCGAAGUUCCAACUGAUGUUGCUGCGGACUCAUCCCUUCUGGGACAUCUUCAAUCGACACUUGAGAUUGGCUCCUCAUAGUUAACUCUUCCGUCAGUUUUGACACCUCAUUUUGUAAAAUUUCAAUUUUAGACCUCAUUUUCUCCGUUUCACAUCUCAAUUGGUCACACAAUAAAGCUUUCUCUGUCACCAAUAACUCUGUCUUGUCUACUUCCGCUUACAACUGGCAUUUGAACUUCUGUCGUUCCAAAUCCCAUGACUUCCUAUUGUGAAUCAAUUCGUCCCGUUGUCCUUCCACAAUCCGUGAAAUUUGUUCUUUUUCCUUUGUCCAAGCCUCAUAUUGGAGAACCAAUUUCCGCUCCAGGUCCAACUUGGCUUCUUUAAUUUCUUGAAUCCUCAGUUCUUGCUCCCUAAUUUUUUGAUUUUGAUUCCAUAACUUUUUUUUACUAUCCUUCCAAUCCCGUUUACUUCUGUCUUCUACAUCCAAUGCUUGUACUAUACAAUGUAUAUGCGAAAUGUGCUUCAAUAUGGUAUUUUUAAAAGAUACUUCUUUAGGUAAUCGACCUUCUAGAAACGCCAAUUGGUUGAUAUCUAUCAAUAAUGGGACUUGAUUCUCCUCUUCCACCGCAACAUCACUUGAAACCCGUCUCGCUUCGAUAACUAGAGCUACCCCUUGAACCAUUAUACGACUUGAUUUUCCAAUUUUGUGUAUUACAUCCACUGCAUUGUGAUUCUGUGCCAAUAAAUUUUGUUCUCUCUGCAAAGGUGCUGACACUGAUAUAGGGUUUUCCUCUUCUCACGGUGGUUGAGGCAAUGUGUGCACGAUGACAGCAUAUACAUAAUUUGAACAAAACAAGGAUGUGAACUUUCCCAAUUUGAACUUGGCUCCUAUCUCCACAUGAAUAUGAGUAGCUACGUAAGCCGCCCAGUUGAACACCAUGCCUUCAAACGCUCCUACUGCUACAUACAAUAAUCGUUUUGACACAGAAGUGGAGUGUCGGCACAAUCCUAACUGCCUCAGCACGAACCGCAACCAUUCCACAUAUUCUGGUGUAAUCGCCUCCUGAGUCCGCCAUCCUUGGCUCUUUUCAAAGGAUGACAUUCCUCCUUUGAAAUAUCUACCUAGGGUGAAAUCGCUUGACUCAUUAGUCUCUACUGCCAUCUCUCCAAUGGGAAGAAACAACACCUUUUCCAGGAUUGUUUCAUCAAUCCCAAUAAUUCACCCUUGAACAAGACUCGAUCCAUCCUCGGGGUCGUAAUUCUUAAUAUAUUCCUCCAUUUAUGACACAUUGAUUGAUGGUAAACGCUCUGAAUGGUGUAAAAACUAGAAUAGCUUUGCAAUCCGAAAAUCCCUUAUUUUUCUCUCCGUCCAACAGAUUUCUAACUUCAUCGGCUCCAUAUUCGUAACGAUUAUCACAGACGAAGGUUUUGCUGUGCGUUUAGCUCUCACAUUCUAGCCACUUUCAUCUCUGUCUACAGCUCUCUUGGUACUUUCAAUCGCCAUGACUUAAACGCUUAUAGGUCCUAACCGUCAAUGCGACUCUCUAGUAUGCCCGAAACACUAAAAUGAAACACAAAUAAGCAACAACAGAAUAUAAUACCACAGAAUAACUUUUAAUAGGAGCCCUACUCCUAUUCUAUUAUCUAGUGAUGAGAACGACAAUAUGAUACCCAUAUUGUCCAUUUCUCACUUUCUUCGCAUCUGAUACAAUAGUGAUAACUAAAUAUCCUUGCAGCCGCCUCUAUACCUUAUACCAUAAUUAGGUCCCUCUUGAGUCCAUUCGAAGUCCCCUCCCCUCAAAUGAAAUAAAACCCAUCCCGGGUUUGAGGUAUUAUAUAACCGUAAACGAUUCCCAUUAAUACGGGUACUGAAACGAUGACCCGUGAAAUCCUCCAAUUGAACAGACCCAUUGGAAAAUCCUUCAAUUACGCGAUAUGGCCCAUGCCAGCGAACUUGAAAUUUUCUCAGAAAAUGAUAGAAUCGGCUGUCAUACAAUAAUACCAAAUCAUUGGGCAUAAAACACUUCGGCCGCAGUUUACUAUCAUAGUAACUCUUCCUCCAUUUUUAAGUGGCUUCUAUGUGGAAUAGAGCGACAGCCCGUAUUUCAUCCAAUUCCUCUAAUUUCAUCAACCGAGAGUGUAAUGACUCGGUGACACUGAGGCGUUCGUCUAAGGCAAUACAUAAACUAGGAACCUCCAAUUUCAUAGGUAAAAUUGCCUCUUGACCGUAAACUAAUUGGAACGGAGUAGAGUAGGUAGUUACUUUAUAGGCGGUACGAUAAGCCCACAAAGCUGCAAAGAGUUUGGUCUCCCAAUCAGUACCGGCCCCUAAAAUUGUCUUAGUCAAGACUUUGCACAAAAUACCGUUGGUCUUUUCCGUUUGCCCAUUGGUGCGAGGAUGAUAGGGAGUGGUCUUACGAUGCUUGAUCUCAUAUGUGGUCUUCAAGGCGGUGAUGGUAGCAUUGAUGAAAUGGGUGCCUCGAUCGCUGACCAAUUCCUUGGGACACCCAAAGCGAGUGAUAAUAUUCUCAUACAGAAAAGUUGCCACCGUACUAGCAUUAUCGGUGUGGGUAGCAAUCGCCUCUGCCCAUUUGGUGACAUAAUCUGUGGCGACUAAGAUAUACCGCUUUUAACUAGGUUUUGAUGCAUGUGCAAUGGGACCAACAAAAUCAAUACCUCAUUUUUCAAACGGGUCUUGGGCCAAGAUUGGGACUAACGGCAUGGCGGAAGUACCCGUAGGUCAACCAAUUUGUUGACAAGGAUCACAACGGCGAACGAACUGGUGGACAUCAGAAAACAUCGUGGGCCACCAAUAUCCGGCCAUUAAAGCCUUGCGAGCAGUGCUGUCUCCUGCGAAAUGACCACCACAACUAUCCAAAUGACAACCGGUAAGUAUCGACUGUACUUCACUGGGACAGAUACAGCGCCGUUAAAGACCAUCUCGGCCUUGUUUAUACAAAGCAUCACGAAUCAUCGUGUAUGGGGCACUCUUCAGAAUAAGGCGCUUCUAAAGCUUGUCUAUGAAAGUCGGCGAAAAAGUAUGAAAGGUCAGAAACUGAAUAAUUUCGCUAUACUCGGGGGAUAUCACAUCCACCACAAAUAAUGCGGUGUCGGAAAGAUCAUCGGGAACAGGCUCGUUGCCGAGAAUAUUAGACAAUCGGGAUAAAUGAUCCGCAUUCGCAUGUUGCUUCCCAGGUCUGACAACCACCGUAAAAUUGAACUCCUGGAGGAGUAAGACCCAACCAGCAAUGCACCCACUCAAUUGAGGCUUAUUAAUCAGAUAUUUGAAAGCAUCAUGAUCCACAUAAAAUACAAACGGAUACCCAAGCAAAUAGUGCCAAAAUUUUUGAACCGAGUAUAUCAUAUCCAACGCCUCUUGUUCAGUAGUAGUAUAGUUGCGUUGGGCAGCCACCAAUUAUCGACUGGCAUAAUAUAUGGGAUGAUCUAAUCCCUUAUCAUCCUUCUGGCUUAACACCGAGCCAAUAGCAGCAUUGGAUGCAUCAACAUACACAUGAAAUGGCUUUGUGCAACAAGGAGCCACCAAUAUUGGUGCAGAGAAUAAUUUUGACUUUAAGACUUCGAAGGCUAUGGUACACUCCUUGGUCCAGAGGGGACUAGUACCAUCGGAUGGAGGUUUCUUCAGUAAGUUCGUUAAAGGUUGACAAAUAACCGCAAACGAACUUAUAAAUCGUCGAUAAUAACUGACAUGACCAACGAACCCUCGAAUACCGGAGAUUGUCUCCGGUCUGGGCAAGUUCAUGAUAUGCUGCACUUUGUGAAGAUCCGUAGCAAUACCAUGACUGAAAACAAUAUGGCCCAAUAAUUUUUCGGACGGAACACCAAAUUGGUACUUCUCCGAAUUCAACGAUAUCCCAAAUUUGGCACACUGAGUCAACAUUUGCGUAAACAAUGAAGAUGAUCUUGUUUGGUAUUGAAUGUACAAAAGUCAUCUAAAAAGAUCUCCAUAAAUAUCCAGAGAUAGUCUUGAAAAGCCUGAGUCAUCACGCGUUGGAACGUGGCUGGGGCGUUACAUAACCCAAAAGGCAUCACGCGAUAAGCAAAUGUGCCCCAAUCCGUAGUAAAGGUUGUCUUGAGCUGGUCUUCUUUUGCAAUUUGAACUUGAUUAUACCCGAAGAAACCAUCGAGAAACGAAUAGCAUUUGUGACUCAUGACAGCGUCCAAUAUACUAUCCGUGAAUGGUAACGAAAAGUAAUCUUUCUUGGUGGCUGCAUUAAGUUUCCGGAAAUCUUGAUAAAUUCGGAUUUUUCCGUUCUUUUUUGGCACCAUCACAAUUGGAGAAACCCACUCACUGUUCGGUACUGGGUAAAUGAAACCCACCGCAAGAAGCUUGUCUAAUUCUUCCUUCACCAUAAGGAAAUAUUUAGGAUUAAGGCGAUGUUGCCUUUCGCGUACCGGUUUAGCGUUUUCUUCCAAUAUGAUACGAUGUUCACAGACAUUAGCAGGGAUACCUUGUAGAUCAUCAUAAGUCCAAGCAAAAGCAGAUUUAUGAUGUAAGAAAAAGUCUGUCCAACAGGUCAACUCUUGUUCCUUAAUACCUUCGUAGACCUUAAUUAGCCGAGGUUCGGUCGUGGUUGCUAAGCUAAUAGUUUGACUUACAGGUUCACCAACAAUACUCUGUUUCAAUUCUCGCAGUGAUUUAAAAUUACUCGGUAUGUUCGACAUAUGCAAAGUAACGUAUCCCGUCUUGAGGGCACUAACAUGGUGCACAUCGUGCGGAGGUUUCCAGUCAAUAUUAACAUAAGCAGAGUUUUCCGAAUCCUUCGGGUAUAUCAAGUACUCCCCCGGACCUCCACAUUGGUACACCACUCCAGGGUGUAGUGCUGCUUCCACAUUGGCCUCCGUACUCGGUAUUUCUGUGUCAUCCUCGGAGCUAAGCUCUUCGUCCGACGUCAAUUCAGAUGCUGGCAACUGAGACUCCCCGUGAUAGCGUACUGGGUACAUUUGUAACACCAUUUUAUCUACACCCUUACCAAUUGUCAAAGUACCCCGACCCCAAUCAUUCUUGGCCUUUGCUUGAUACAGCCAAGGUCGUCCCAAUAAAAUAGGAUACAAUAAAGUCGAACUUUGUAAGCGAAAGAUAAUGUAGUCAAUUUCAUAUGCAAUACCUACAAUUAUAGUUUGAACACUCCGUAAAAUACCCAUUGGCUUAACUCGGCUAUGAUCUGUCAUCCGUAAUACCAAUGUCAUGGAGACUAAUUGUUCGAGAUCUAAAGCAUCCAUUGUAUCUGCGUUCAUUAAAUUGACAUUGGAACCUCCAUCUACUUGGACGCCAGAGAUCAGAACACCAUCAAUCGAAACAUCAAUGGUUGGUGCACUUGGAUCAGGGUUCAAACUAACUUCACAAACUUCCAUAUUACGAUGUCGAUGUCUUGUUAGGGAUGAAUUCAAGGUGGAACGACACUCUGGUGCCACUGCUAGAAGUUGCUUCAUAGAAAUUGAAGGCCGAAUAGCAUCCAAAUGCUUUAAAAUAUCGUAGGGUUCCAUAUUUAGGGUAAUUUCCAAUGCCCUCUUCCGUUUCAUGGGUUUGAGUUUAACUCCGUGAGGUAAAUUAUUCUGCCGCCCUGGCCUUGAAAUUAGAACAGCAGCUUGAGCUUCCUUGGAACUACCUUUCCCAAGGGGAUCUUUCAACGGGUAUGAUGCUUCCUGGAACUGCAGUGGGAAUAGACCGGUUCGAGACGGAACUAAAAACUCUGUAAUUGGGACCUCAUUGGGCUUCGCAACCAAAUCAAGGCUCAAGACUUUUCCAGUGUCAGGACCUGAAUGGAAUGGAUCCGUAAUUGGGUGUGAUUGGCCCUUCGCUUUAGGAUCUUCAAAAUGUUUAAUUGGGCCUUUCUCUUUUUGUUGACUCCUAGUAAGAACGGUAUGGACACAUUUCACCCGAUUUACUGGACAGUCUUCAGGACCUCGAUUUAUCCCCUCCAUUUUUUCUGGACUCUGGAUUUACUGAUCCCGAUUAUUGAAAUUAAAUGGAGCAUUACAUUGCUGAUACGUAUGCCCUGACUGCUUGCAAUUCCCACAAACUGGCGCAUAAUCGUCACUGGCUCUUGGGUUGGGACAUUCAUUGGCAUAAUGACCAAUCUGUCUACAACGGAAACAACGCAAUGGCCUUUUUGCACCCCCAUCAGGCAUAUUGGGUGUCUCCACCGGUAUAUACCUACUAGGUUUGUUCCAUGUAGGUUGAGAAAACGAUCCUAGUUGUCCCGAUUGUACUUGGUUCAAUGGCAUCGAUGGAGCAUAUGGCUGAUACCCAUGUUGCUUCUUACCAUAGUUCUGAGGAUUUGAUACAAACCCCUGAUUACAAGUGGAAUUCUGAAAAUGAUUGACUACUCGAUUUUGUCAGUUAGAUCGAUUUCUAUGCCAUCCAAACGUAUUUCCUGUUUGAACUUGAUUGACAUCCCAUGGAGUUGGUGGAAUCAUGGUCGGAUUACUGAAUUGUUGUUGUCUUUGCAAAUUCCAAUAAUUAGCGGUUAAGUGCUUGCCUCCACAAAAUGUACAUUUACCCAACACUUGUGAAGGUGACAGGCAUUCUGUUAUCAAAUGACCGUGGCCUUGACAAUUACUGCACCAUACAUUGGUCCUAGUAUUGGUUGGCUUUUGCCUCUUCUCUUUAUCUUUGGCCAUAUUAACGACCAUUUCCUCUAUUUUCUUCGUCAAGUUCAAUAACAAGGCUUCAUUGGAAUCUUUUGAAGCUGGUAUUAUUUGUUUUUCUGCCAAAGUUGACUCUUGUGUUUGAUAUGGAAAAUAUGGAGCAUACGCUGUUGUGACUUGCGGUGGUAAAGCUUGCAAUGGAAUAACAUUAAUUGGCCUCUGAGUAUUGGCACUUGAAUGGGCCACUGUUUCGAUCAUCUGUGGAUAAUUACCCACUGAUCCAUUCAAAGCCGGAUAUUGAUAAUUGCUUUGAAUUGGUAUCAUCGUGGCACUCGCAAUUAAAAACUGAUCAUAAUGGCAUUCCUCCCAAACCUUGGCUCUAUCAAGGGAUGCAGAUACUGUAACUGAUUGAGCUUCUUUGACAAACAUUUUUCGCUCUUGUGGGUGCAAACCAUUUAUUAAUAUAGAUGAUAUAAAUACCUCCGGCAUUUGGUGGUUCUGCCACUUACUAAGUAUAUCAGCCACUCGGCCAUAGUACGAUUCCACCGCCUCUCCUAGGAUCAUUUUGCUGUUCAUUAACCUUCCUCGAAGAUGGUCUUCAAAACCAAUUGGUCGAAAACGGGUCAAAAAUGCAUUCUUCAACGCUUCUCCAUUCAAAAAUUGACCAACUGGUUGACGGUUAUACCAUUCAAAUGCCGUAUCUUUUAAGGUUGCUAGCAACCAUCGUAACCAAAUAUCCUCGGUUCUCCCAUUAUUGGCGACACAUGCUGUCAAAAACUGUGACAAAUAUUGAUCUGGAUCCGCACUCGGAAAGCCCCUAAAUGUAGGUAAUGGAGCCACGCUAGUUGUGCGAUCACUCACAGUACCCAUUUGUACUGCUAUGGGAACCGCUAGACCUCCCGUUGUCAUUGAAUUUGACAACGUGACACUUAAUCAUUUGUUAAUAUAGUCUGCGUCUCUCCCAAAUAUAUUUUCUGAACUUUCCAUCCUGCUCAAUUUGCUAUUAUUAUCCUUGAAUAAGUUUAUUGGUUGAAUAGGAGGUGAGAAUGACGGAUUUUGAAACACACUAAAUUGGCCCUUAUUGACCAAUAAUUUAUGCCACUCUAUAGAACCAGUUUUGACAAAAUUGGCAGUUUCCGCUAUUAGAAACGUAUCCAAUGGAGUAUCCAACUCUUUUGUGAUUCCCCCACUCUUAGUUAACUAUCUCAGAAGAAAUCCUGGCCUAUUGACUAAAUUUUCCACAAGUGCUCUUGGCAAUUUUUCUAACGGUAUAUACUUUUAGAAUAUUAGAUGUCGAUUAGCCUCUGGGUAUGCUCGAAUAUGAUGACAGGCAUGCAACCAUGGCUUAAUCCAGCUUUGUGUAUAAUUCCUUUUUAACUUUCUUUGUUGCUCGUUUCGCAACAAAUUUCUUGCUUGCGAUCUCUCUAUUCUUUCUCUUGACUGCCGUAUUUUCUUUACUGUUAAGUUCUCAUUCUUAAUAACCAUACUCUUUUAUUAUAUUCUUCUGCGACUGCUACCUAUUUCCCAUCUACUUCAACCGGCAGUUAAUACCUAACAUUCCAUGCUAUUAUCAAUUUCACUGGCAGCGGCGCCAAAUUGUGAUUGCUCGUUUUACUUAUUCUGAAAGGAACCUCCCAGAAUAAACCUGUAUAGGAGAAUUCGAACACGGGGAGUGACUAAUUGCUUAAGCGUUCAUGUUAGGGUGACACAAUUAAUUACCUCCAAUGUAUCGUCUCUAUUUCCAUUGUCUAAGCACACAAGGAAACUAUAAUCUCUCCUUUCACCUUAUCAAUCUCUUCCUUAUAACAAUUCAGUCAUAUCAAUAACUGUUAUUUCUACCAAUAUAUCUUCACUCUUAUAAUCUCCAACUGUAAUACCGCAACAUCACAGCUUCAGCACACAAUUACCCUCAUUCCAAUUACUAGAAUUCUUCACACAUAACUACCAUUCACAUUACAGUGUUUCACACAACCACAGAUUCACUCUUUCUACUGAACUACAUUCAGAUUUCAGCAUUCAAUCUCUCUUCUUCUCAUUCAAUAACAUAUAAUUCCAAUCACACUUUCAUUCCAUGAUUCACUUCACAAUAUUCAGAAACUCUCAAUACUCUUAUUUCAAAGAACAUAACAACAAAAGAAAAGAGGUAGCACCAAGCUUACUCCGGCUCACACUAUCACAGUAAUGGCCCCUACUUCCUCUCUCCCAUCUUCCUUAUGCUACCACGAGAUACCAACUGCUACAUCUCUAAUGAAAACUGCUUUUCCUAACUAUUCAUCCAUUUUACCUACUGAACUACCUUUUCAACAGUCAUUUAUCCUUGUUUACACUAUAAACUAAGUAUCUACAAUUCACCAAAUAACUACUUAUUCUACACCAUUGCAUGCCUUACUAAUGCCUUAACAAUAGGUAAAUGUCCAUGCUCACUUUUUCUAUUAUCUUUUGGAUUAUAUGCUAUUGUCAAAGAAAGUUUAAUUCCUAUUCUACUAAAAAAUUCUCAUGCUUCUUUUGCAUCCAAUUCACCCCUAUCCGCCUUAAUUCUUCUAAUACAUCCAUAACAAUAAAUAACUUUUUCUAAUAGAAAUCGACAUACACCUUUAAUAUCCUUUGUUUUUAAUGCUCGGCCUUCAACCAUAUUUGAUAAAUCUUCUCGUGCAAGUACCAAAUACUUCAUUUGCCCAAGUCCCAUAGGUAUUGCCACUAAAUCCACCACCCACUUGUAAUGUAAAGCCAAAGGGUAUGUUGGAUGUAAUCCAUCUCGAUGCCAAAUAUUUGAAUAUAUUUGAUAAGUCUCACAAGAUUCUACAAAUUUUGCUAUGUCUUUGUACAUUCUUUUCUACCAAUAUUUUUCUUUUAACUUAGUGAAUGUUGUCCAAAUACCUCAAUUCUCUACCCAUAAAUUUUUAUGAAAUUCUUUAAUAAUCCUUUGUUGAGCUUUUAAACCACAUAUCAUCCUUUGUGGUACUUCUUCUCUCUUUUUUGGAUGUUUCCAUAAAUAUCCAUCAUGUAAAAAAUAUCCAUAGGUUUUUUUAUGAAUUUUCUUAAAUUCUUGAUCCGUCCAAUCUUUUUUUCAUUUUAAUGUGCUCAAAUAUUCUCCCACAUCUUUCCAUUCAUUUUCAUAUAAAUCUCUUAAAAAUGCUUCCAAUGGUAUAUUAAAACAUACACCCUUUUCCUUUGAUAACGCAUUGGUAUAAAAUUUUGUACCUACAUCAUCUUCUAAAUCAAUCAUCUUUUCUUCAUCAUUAUACCUUGCUCUCGAUAACAUAUCUGCAACUAAAUUUUCUUUCCCUGCAAUAUGUUUAAAUUCAAGAUUCAUAGAUUUGAUAUAUGCUAUCCACCUCAACAUAGCAAUAUCAGGAGUUGAACAACUUGUAAUCAUGCCUAACAAAAGUAGACAAUCUAUUUCUAUAACUACUGAUGCUGGAAUCAAGUACUCUUUUUCAUUUUUCAUAGCUAUUACUAUAUCCCAUAGUUCUCUUUUGAUUUGUACAUAUGCCCUUGCCUCGAAUUUAAUACCUUUGCUCCAAAUCUUACUACAUAUCUAUUUCUUUGUUCAUCAUCUUACCCAACCGCCCAACCUAUUCUAAUUGGACUUGCAUCAACUGUUAAUACUACUGGCCUUCUACCUUCAUAAUUUACUUUCUUCAAAGUUAGAGAUGAAGAAAGAAGUUCUUUUAAUUUUUCCAUAGCUUUUCGUUGUCCUUCUUUCCAUUGAAAUUUUUGAUUCUUUCUUAACAACUCAUACAAUGGAUCUGCUAUAUGUGCAAAGUGAGGUAUCCAUAUAUAAUAGAAAAUACAUGCUCCUAAAAAUCUUCUCACUUCCGUUGUAUUUGUACAUUCUUUCAUCUUUUUAAGAAUAUCAAUCUUUUCUAUACUUGGCUUACGUCCAUAUGAACCACAUAUGUGUCCUACCACCAAAAUUUCUUUUACUCCAAACAUUGAUUUUGUCCCCGAUAAGGUUAAAUGAACUUCUUCCAAUCUUUUUAAAAUCUUCUCACAAUCUUUAAUAUGAUCUGCCACAAACUUCCUACAUCCCUUUGAAUCUAAAGUUUCAUCCUUUCUUUCUUCUUCACAUUCCUUAAUAGGUACAUCAUCCAAGAAAGGCAUUGUUAUUCUUGGAAUAAAAUCUCUUAAUACCUUAUGCAUUCCAUUCAUCAUAUGUGCUAUAGAAUUUGUAGCCCCUUGUGGUAAUGUACACAUUCUAACCAAUCCUAAUGGUGUCUUCAUAAUUAUCAAAUCCCUACUUUGUAUUGCCAAUUGAAAUUGAUCAUAACUUGAAUAAAGAUCAUCCAUUGAGUAGAUAGCUCUUCUAGCAAAUGCUUCUGUAAAUUCAUCCACAAUUGGACUUGAACCCAUAUUUCUAAUAGUCACUUUAUUUACGGGUUGCAUAUCUUAUAUAAAUUUCAUUGUUCCAUUUUUCUUUGGCACUGUAAACCAUCGAUUAAAAUAAGGCGCUAUAGAUGGCUCCAAAAUUCCCAUUUUAAUCUUUUCAUUGUGUAAAUCUAUUAAUUUAGAUAAAUAUGCUUUUGAUACUAGAAUUGGUCGCAAAUUCCAUGAUUCAUGAGGAAUAGUAAAAAUAACCAUGGAUGCUAAAAUAUUUGGAUCAACACAUCCAAUUUCAUGUGCUUCAAAUGCAAAAGCUUUUCUAUGACAUGAAAGCAUAUCCCUAAAACAUUUUUCUUCACAUUUUGUCAAAAAUCCAUUACCUCCAAUAUUUAAUCCAUCUAAUGUAACAUCCAUAAAUUUAUGCCCUAUCUUCCUUGGAACUCUUAGAUUUGGUUGUGUCGAUGCUCCACUUAUCGUUUCUUCACAAUCAGAUGGUAGUGGCAAAGCCACUAGUUUGACCUUCUUUGCUACUAAUUUAUACUUAGUUUCAACAUAUACCUCUUGGCGACUUAAAUUUUCUUUAAAUCCUUGAAUUUCAUCAUAAAAUUCUUUAGAACACACAUUAAUAACUCUAUUCUCUACUUGUAACUCACAUUAUAAUAGAUAAUUUAAUUCCUCCAUAGUAUGUGCAAAACCUACUUCUUCAUAUGCUCCUGAAAUAAAUUCAUUUUCAACCAAUUCUCCAUUUUCUUUCAAAUUUUUCUCAAUAUUUUUAAUAUAACAUUUGUCCCUCUUUUUUAUUUUGUCAAUAGUCUUAAAAGUCAAUACACAAUCUUGUGUCAUCUCAAUAAGUUUGAUAGAUAACAAUUCUUCUUUUAAAUUAAGCGGGAGUUUUUUUUUUCUAAUCCAUUGCAACCCCAUCUUAUAAUGGUGUGUAAUAAAAACCGUAAAGGUCUUCAAAUUUGAAGAGAGAAACCAAUAUCAAACCAAUAUCAAACCAAUAUCAAAUAUUGGUUUGAUAUUGGUUUUUCUCUCAACUUAUCACAAUUUCUCUCAUGAUUAGCACAAAUAGUUAAAAAUUGAACUGCUUUCAUCCCAUCUUGGCUUCUUAUUCUUGCAUAAGCUGAACCAUCAUCCAUUACUUUUAUUUCCAUUCAUGUGGAAAUAAUAUAUGAUUGUCCCAAUAUAAUAGGAUAUGUAGACAUGUCUUGCACAAAGAAAUUCUGUUCAUGAAUGACAUCUCCAAUUGUCACUUUGAUAUUUGGACAUGCUCCAUACAAAUCCCUCUUUGAAUUAUUCCCAGCUCUUAUCAUCCACCCAUGUUCAGUAUCAAUAGGCCAUUUUUCCUUGUUAUAUAAUUCCUUUAACAUCAAAUUGAUUUCAAAACCAUAAUCAAUUAAUGCUACAACUAGUUUUUCUAAAUUUUCCAAUUUUAUUAAAGUCUCAGUUGUAGCCCUUGCCCAAUGACUUCUAGAAUAAUGGCUAAAAGCUUGAAUGAAAUCUUCUUUUUCUGUAAACCUUGCUUGCAAGACAUCUCCAAAAUUUUGUAUUUCAUCUUCUUCAUCUUCAUUUCUUUCCAUUGCUCUUGUUUCUUGUGCAUUCGAUAUCAUAGAGUCUCUUAUAGAUUAUCGUUUUCUCUUUAUUAUAUCAAUAAUAACUUCAUGAAACUCACGCUUUGCAAUUCCUAGAAUUUUACAAAUUGUGAAUUCAAUCUUUUCACUUAAAAUCCACUUCUCCAAUACCUUCUUCAAAUCUAUAGCUGCUUCAAUAUCUAAUUGUAAUUUAUAAGCAGGAGCCUUUGCUUUUUCUUUUCCAAUUUCCCUCUCUUUUGUAGAAAUAUUCUCCAUGUAUAGAAUUCAUGUAUAGAAUUCUUUUGUUGUCGUAUUUUUUUCCCCCUUGUAGUUCUUUUUGAGGGCCCUUCAUUAUUUUCAUCUCUCCUUCAUUUUUCUUCUAUUAAUGCUUCGUGUUGACUCCUUGUAAUAUGAGCAUGUACAGAUAAUCUAUCUAUUAGAUCAUCCCACCCAGUAAUUUGUCGAAUGUUAUUACCAACACGUUUUAAAUCAUCUCUAGUAAAAUUUCCCCUUUCAACAUAUUUCAUUGUAUUUAUCCACAAAGAACUAGAUUCUCCCAAAAACUCAAGAUUUAUACUUAAACAUCUACUAGGAUCUGCUUCCACCCAAUAUGUUGAUGCUUCAUUGCUUGACAUUGUCUGCACUUUAAAAGUAUCUCCAAUAAAUAACUUCAUUCUUCCUUUACCAAAAUUUGUUUCUAAUUUUUCUCCAUUUUCUUUUGAGUGUAUCAUACCAUCUCUAAAAAAAACAACUCCUUUAUAUAAUGCCUCUAUAAAUUCUUCACAUUCCCUCCUUGAGUGAUCUAUGCUAUCACACCACAUACAUCUAUGUACUACACCCUCCAUUGGCCUUGGUCUUUAUUUUGUUGAUAUUCUUGAUGAUUGACCUUUCUCUUCAAGUUUUCCAAAUUUUAUUUGCAAAUCUCUCAUCCUAUGUAUGAUUUCAUCAAUUCCCGUUUCUUCUUUCUUUGUUGUAGUCAUUGAAGGUUGAAUCAAAGAUGUUGGAUGGAUACUAGACACCUUUACCUUAGAUGCUUGUAAUGGUCUUUGAUCACCGCCCAUAUCUUUUCUCCUUUCUCUUUUUAUCAACAUCCUUACAACAUCCUCUACCCUUUCCCAAUUUGUUGUCAAUCCUUCAUCUUCUUCUUUAUCUUCAAGUAUGAAUUCCAACUUCUUUUGCAACUUUCUAUCAGCUGCUUGAAGAAAGAGCUCCACCUUACUUGGAUCCAAUAAUUAUCUUACUUUCUUUGAUAAAGAAGAAUAUUACUUUUUAAACUCCCUUAAUAAUUCUAUUGCUAGAAGAUCCUUCUCUGGCUUUUCAAUCCAUUCAAAAAAAGACCUUUUUGUAACCCUAUCACUAUCUUCUAAGAAAAACUCAUCUUUCAAAGCUUGAGAAAAUUUCUCCCAUGAACCUCCAAAGUGUUGUAUAAGAAACUUGACUUGAUUUCUUAUCUCUCGUGCAGAGGCUAAUUCAAAUAAUUGAACCAUCUCGCUUUCUGAAAUAUGCUUCAAUUCCAUUUCCUUUACAUAACAUCUUAAAUAUUUUAUAAUAUCUUUUUCCUCCAAAUUGAUCGUUCUUAUCCAUGACUGCUUAUAAUGCUUUUUUAGCCAUACUCUCUUGGGAUCUUUAACCGGUUGCUCUUGUUGUUGCAUGAAUAAGAUCAUAGCUUUAAACAUGCUUGCAGAGUUAGGAUCAAAAUGCAUACCUGUCCUCCAAAUGAAGCUCUUCUUCCAACUCUACUUGAAGCACUAUCCAAAUUGCCUCCUUACAUUCUCCUUUAAUUCCCUCUCCAAAAUUUAAAUAAUAAAAAUAAUAAUAAAUUCCUUCCACCUCAAGCGUUUCACGUCGGGUUCACCAAAUAUGUCGUAAUGUAUGAAAUCUUGCUUGAAAAUGCUCCGGGCACCUGGCUGUAGAAGGAAGAAUAUAAAUUGUGAUAAGAAAAUCAUAAUUCUAAUAGAAUACUAAUAAUGCUCUAAUUAGACUAUAAUAAUGGUAAACAAAUAUAAUCAAAUUCAAAACAACUCAAAGAAAUUUCAAACAAACAACAAAAUUCUUAAAGAAAUAUUAGAAUGAUUACAAAUAUUACUCAAAUUUAUGUCAAUUCAACCUUAAUUUAAUUCUAGUUAAAACCCUAUUGAAUUUCACUCAAACUUUACACCAAACCUAAUUAAAUCUUAAAUCCUAAUAAAUCCUAAACCCUAAGUCAAAUUCUAAACAAACCUUAAAUUAAACCCUAAAUCAAAUCCUAUUUCAAAUCCUAAAUCCUAAACCAAAUCCUAAAUCAACUCUAAACUCUAAUCCAAAUCCUAAACCCUAAACCAAAUCUUAAAUCAAAUCCUAACCAAAUCCUAAUCCAAACCCUAAUCCAAAUCCUAAACCAAAUCCUAAAUCAACCCUAAACCCUAAUCCAAAUCCUAAACCCUAAACCAAAUCUUAAAUCAAAUCCUAACCAAAUCCUAAUUCAAAUCCUAAUCCAAAUCCUA